UUGAAAGGGAAACGAUUGAAGUCAGUCAUACCAACGGGAAAUCAACCUUUUGAGCUUGGUCUCGUGGGUUUUGAAGAGUUUCAAAGCCUUCGGAUUCGCGGGAUUGGGAUCUCUCGGUGUACUUUCUCGUACGGUUAGUCAACAUCGGUUUUGAAUGUCAUAAAAUGACUGGAGGAAUGUAGCUUCGAUCUCGUAUUGAAGUGUUAUAGCCUUUGGUAGAUGUGAUGUUUGAGACCGAGGAUUGCAACGGAUACCCUUCAGGGGCUAUUCGUCUGAUCUCUGAUACGUUGCCCUGAUGUUGAAAGCUUGCUUAUGAUGUUAGGGUAUUACGGUCAAAAGGUUAGAACGGAUUACAUUCGUUAAGGAUGUUGACGUA
rnacentral:rRNA from 1 species